rnacentral:rRNA from 1 species
AUUCCUACGGGGCGCAGCAGUAGGGAAUUUUCGUCAAUGGGCGCAAGCCUGAACGAGCAAUGCCGCGUGAACGAGGAAGGUCUUCGGAUCGUAAAGUUCUGUUGAAGGGGAAAAAGAGCGGAGAGAGGAAAUGCUUUCUGAUUGAUAUUACCCUUCGAGGAAGUCACGGCUAACUACGUGCCAGCAGCCGCGGUAAUACGUAGGUGGCGAGCGUUAUCCGGAAUGAUUGGGCGUAAAGGGGGCGUAGGCGGCAGGCUAAGUCUGGAGUGAAAGGUACCGGAUCAACCGGGACAGGCUCUGGAAAG